rnacentral:rRNA from 1 species
GAAUAUUGGACAAUGGGCGAAAGCCUGAUCCAGCAAUGCCGCGUGUGUGAAGAAGGCCUGCGGGUUGUAAGGCACUUUCAGUAGAGAAGAAAAGCCUGCGGUUAAUAACCGCGAGUCUUGACGUAACCUACAGAAGAAGCACCGGCUAACUCCGUGCCAGCAGCCGCGGUAAUACGGAGGGUGCAAGCGUUAAUCGGAAUUACUGGGCGUAAAGCGCGCGUAGGCGGUUUGGUAAGUCGGUUGUGAAAGCCCCGGGCUUAACCUGGGAAUUGCAGUCGAUACUGCCUGACUAGAGUAUGGUAGAGGGAAGUGGAAUUUCCUGUGUAGCGGUGAAAUGCGUAGAUAUAGGAAGGAACACCAGUGGCGAAGGCGACCACCUGGACUGAUACUGACACUGAGGUGCGAAAGCGUGGGGAGCAAACAGG